UUAAAGAAUUUGAAGGAUUCAUUUUGUAGAUUUGAAGACUUCAACUUGCAUACUUGAAUAAUUUGAAGACUUCAGCU
rnacentral:pre_miRNA from 1 species